GUGGAAGCAGUCACUGCUUCGUUUGUGGUAAUGUGAGACGAAAUUAUACUUGUGCCCAGUUUUUAUUGCAGAAUUCGCAGACUCAUGCAUUUGUAGAAAGGCGCGUAUAGCCAGUUUCCUAUAGGUAGCUAGCGGAAUCCCGGAACGAAUCGGAUUAAACCAUAUCGAGCGCAUUGCAGCCUUUGCCUGCAGACUUAUGGAACUUCAGCCGAAACUGACCUUUCUGCAAAAUCUGCGGUUUAAAACGGGGAUUCAUUCGGGUCCCUGUGCUGCAGGAUUAAUGGGGCUGAAACGACCCCGUUAUUGCUUAUUUGGUGACACAGUUAACAUGGCUUCCCGAAUGUGCAGCCACGGUACACCCGGCCGUAUUCAUCUCAGCCCCGAAAGCCAACUUCUGCUGGAACAAUUUCCCCAGUUCGUUGUCAAAGCAAGAGGCGUGCUUGCUAUUAAGGGAAAACAUGAAAUAGCAACUUACUGGCUUCUUCCAUCGCCCCAAAAAUAAGAUUAUUUCGAAAUAUUGUACUGUUGUUGAAAUACUGUCAUAGCCUAAAGCAAAAAAAAGAUAUUUUUCCUGCCUGAUCCG